GUAUGAUCGAGAAGAAAUACCUUACUCUUUUGUUUUUUGCUUUUUUAACAUUUUUGAAUUUGAAAUACGAAAUGGAGGUGACAGUGUCCACAAAAAGCCCAAAAAUGUUGGAACACAAUAAUUUUGAAUGCCUAGUAAAUCAAGUUGGAGGUUGUUUGCUGGGAACUAAAACCUUGUAUUGUACGGGACCGUCUGGACAACUUAUCUGUGGACCAAGAACUAGUUCUGUGCUGAAGACUGAAUGCAAUGGGAGAUUAGGAAAUGUAAUGAUGGCGUAUGCUACUCUUCUGGAGAAUUUACUUUAUAUUUGUUUUUUUCAGUAUCUCUCCAAAGCAUCCAAGUACGGUUUAACAGCAAUAUUAACGAAGUAUCAAGCAGAAAUGAUGGAAAAUGCUUUUCAAUCUGAUGCAUAUAUUUUUAAAGAAGGUAUUGUUGAUGCAAAGGGACCUGUGGAAGGAAUAGCAUCAAUGAACGAGUAUGGAGAAUACUUUUAUGAUUCAUUUCUUGAAAAUAUUAAUAAAUAUCAGUUUAAUAAGAUACUUGAUGUAGGUAUAUACCCUUCACCUUUUUAUCUUUUCUAUACAAUUCGAGACGAGUUGAAAAAUCACUUUCAGUUUCACAAUGAAAUACAGAAUGCUGCUUUUGAAGCUAUGGAACAGUCUACUGUGAAGAUUAGGGAGAAGUAUAAUGGCAAGAAAAUAGUCAAAAUAGCUGUUCACGCCAGAAGAGGAGAUUAUUUGAUUACCCAGAAUGAGAAACUCGGGAUUGUUAUGCGUGAUGACGAGAUGUGGAGAAAAUACUUUUUGUACUGUAUUAAUUUAUUCAGGAAUCGUAUUGAUAAUGAAACUACAAAAACUGUAUUCUAUAUGGCAAGUGAGGACACUAAGUGGCUCAAAGAUAACUUUGGUCAAGAACCUGAUAUUGGAUUUCCAGGAGAAAUAUCAAAUCUUCCAGGUAUUGGAUUUCCAGGAGAAAUAUCAAAUCUUCCAGGUAUUGGAUUUCCAGGAGAAAUAUCAAAUCUUCCAGGUAUUGGAUUUCCAGGAGAAAUAUCUAAUCUUCCAGGUAUUGGAUUUCCAGGAGAAAUAUCAAAUAUUCCAGGUAUUGGAUUUCCAGGAGAAAUAUAAAAUCUUCUAGGUAUUGGAUUUCCAGGAGAAAUAUCUAAUCUUCCAGAUCAAAAGAUGCCCCCGAGAGAUUUAUUUAUGUUAAUACAAUGUGAUCAUAUGAUCAGAUCAUAUGGUACUUAUGGCUUAUGGG
rnacentral:misc_RNA from 1 species